rnacentral:rRNA from 1 species
GAUGAACGCUGGCGGCGUGCCUAAUACAUGCAAGUCGAGCGAACAGGCGAGGAGCUUGCUCCUCUGACGUUAGCGGCGGACGGGUGAGUAACACGUGGAUAACCUACCUAUAAGACUGGGAUAACUUCGGGAAACCGGAGCUAAUACCGGAUAAUAUAUUGAACCGCAUGGUUCAAUAGUGAAAGACGGUUUUGCUGUCACUUAUAGAUGGAUCCGCGCCGCAUUAGCUAGUUGGUAAGGUAACGGCUUACCAAGGCAACGAUGCGUAGCCGACCUGAGAGGGUGAUCGGCCACACUGGAACUGAGACACGGUCCAGACUCCUACGGGAGGCAGCAGUAGGGAAUCUUCCGCAAUGGGCGAAAGCCUGACGGAGCAACGCCGCGUGAGUGAUGAAGGUCUUCGGAUCGUAAAACUCUGUUAUUAGGGAAGAACAAAUGUGUAAGUAACGAUGCACGUCUUGACGGUACCUAAGCAGAAAGCCACGGCUAACUACGU